rnacentral:tRNA from 1 species
AAUAGGGUGUUGUAUUUGUCAUAUCACAUUUUGGUUGUGGUGGUAGUUAGAAGCUUCCUAUUG